UGAUGCAAGGUUAAGCAGCGAAUGUGGAGCCGUAGCGAAAGCGAGUCUGAAUAGGGCGUUGAGUAUUUGGUCGUAGACCCGAAACCAGGUGAUCUACCCUUGGUCAGGUUGAAGUUCAGGUAACACUGAAUGGAGGACCGAACCGACUUACGUUGAAAAGUGAGCGGAUGAACUGAGGGUAGCGGAGAAAUUCCAAUCGAACUUGGAGAUAGCUGGUUCUCUCCGAAAUAGCUUUAGGGCUAGCCUCAAGUGAUGAUUAUUGGAGGUAGAGCACUGUUUGGACGAGGGGCCCCUCUCGGGUUACCGAAUUCAGACAAACUCCGAAUGCCAAUCAAUUUAACUUGGGAGUCAGAACAUGGGUGAUAAGGUCCGUGUUCGAAAGGGAAACAGCCCAGACCACCAGCUAAGGUCCCAAAAUAUAUGUUAAGUGGAAAAGGAUGUGGCGUUGCCCAGACAACUAGGAUGUUGGCUUAGAAGCAGCCAUCAUUUAAAGAGUGCGUAAUAGCUCACUAGUCGAGUGACACUGCGCCGAAAAUGUACCGGGGCUAAACAUAUUACCGAAGCUGUGGAUUGUCCUUCGGACAAUGGUAGGAGAGCGUUCUAAGGGCGUUGAAGCAUGAUCGCAAGGACAUGUGGAGCGCUUAGAAGUGAGAAUGCCGGUGUGAGUAGCGAAAGACGGGUGAGAAUCCCGUCCACCGAUUGACUA
rnacentral:rRNA from 1 species